UACAGAGGUCUCAAGCGUUGUUCGGAUUCAUUGGGCGUAAAGGGUGCGUAGGCGGCGCGGUAAGUCGGGUGUGAAAUCUCGGGGCUUAACUCCGAAACUGCAUUCGAUACUGCCGUGCUUGAGGACUGGAGAGGAGACUGGAAUUCCUGGUGUAGCGGUGAAAUGCGCAGAUAUCAGGAGGAACACCGGUGGCGAAGGCGGGUCUCUGGGCCGAAAUUGACGCUGAGGAGCGAAAGCGUGGGGAGCAAACAGG
rnacentral:rRNA from 1 species